CCUACGGGAGGCAGCAGUCGAGAAUCUUCCGCAAUGGGCGAAAGCCUGACGGAGCGACACCGCGUACAGGAUGAAGGCCUUCGGGUUGUAAACUGUUGUCACGCUAUAGGAACUGCCUGGUGUUUAUAGCGCCAGGCCUGACUAAAGCGAGAGGAAGCACCGGCUAACUCCGUGCCAGCAGCCGCGGUAAU
rnacentral:rRNA from 1 species